UGCAACCUUAAAGUCUAGGAUUCAACCAGCAUUGUCCUUGUUGGAGAUCCAGGGCCUGGCUGUCAGAGACUCACAAACAGAGCUAGCAGCUGCAUGCUCUCAAUCUGGCUGGAGGGCUCUUACCUUCCUGGCACGCUACAUAGGAGCAUCUAGCAGCUCCUAAAGUCUUUGAGGGAACGUGAACCUGGCAGAGGAGGCAGAAAGAGGGAGUUUCUGGCUUUGGCUCCACAGAAGGGCCAGAACAUGGGAUGUUCUGGGAUUGAAGGUGCAAAACACCAGUGAAGGGUGGCUCCCGGCUGACGAGGAGGUGCGUCAGGCAGCGAUGCCUAGCAGAUGGUGCUGAGCGUUUGGAGCCGUGCUGCUGGAGAUCACGAGGGCCCGUCUGUGAGUCACUGAGACAUCAGAGGUCAGAUGGUCUGUGAUUCUGUGCUGGCAUAGCCUAGGAUAUCCGCUUCACUCUUACUGCGUGUCUCUCCCCCUCUGUGAUCACACUUUUAUCGAUGCGUCUUGUCGGCCUCACAGAUGCACUUUAGUGCUUUUUUGACCUUUCACUUACUGAAGGAGAGGCAGGUGAUAAAUCUCUGAAAAGAGUGUGUGUCCUGUAUACUACCAAUAAGACUGGUACUGUGAGAUGGUGUUUUUUAUUAACAGGUGAGUAAGGUGUUUUAUUGAACAGAUAAAUUGCUUUAUGUAGCUCUCUAACAGAAUUCAUUGUAAAGCAUUAUCUAUUUUGAUGGUGGUUGUUGCGCUGCCUGGAAUUUAUUUUUGAAGGAAGUGCCAUGUGUGUUAAUGGGUAUAGCUACUGUAGUAACAUCUUCAGCUAGUCAGUUUGAGAUCAUUUCCAUCUAAACUUGUUAUAUCUCUUAAAAGAACACUCCAACUUUUUUGGACUUUAGCUUAUUCACUGUAUCCUCCAGAGUUCGAUAAAUCCAUACAAAUCUUUUUCAUCUCUGUGCGUGCUGUAACUCUAUCUGACGCACCCACCGCUAGCCUAGCUUAGCACAAAGACUGGAUGUAAACGGCUACAGCUAGCUUAAUCCCAAUAAGAGACAAAAUAACGCAAAACUGUUCCUAUUUACGUGUUGUGAUUUGUAUAGUCAUCAUAAAUAUA